GCUGUUGGUCAGAGUUAGUCACUGCAAGUGCAUACAAGUUUCUCUUGACAAAGUGUAGAGUUAAUGUUGCAAAAGGUUAGUCUUGUGAGAGAAACAAAAUAACAGGGCAUGUACCGACAAGAUAAGAGGGCGGGCAGAGAAUGCUACCUGCAAAAUAUCGACGUUCUGAUUGGCAGAUAACAACGUCAAUCAUUUUGAAGUCCUGUUCGCAGCCAGGAAAGCACUUAGCACAAGUUUUGGUACUCAGCCUAGUGAGCCUUCUACCUGGCCAAGGUCUUGUCCGCGGUCCCUAGCCUACAAAAAACAACGCUGGUGACCGGAGAGGUCGUAACUGUAACUGAUCGAUGAUGGCCUCGCAGAAAGGGACGUUUGCUGGCGUUUUACUUUGUCUCGUCGUGUCCAUGACUGUAGCUUUAGAGGUGUCCAUCCCUCAGCAGUCCUAUGAGUUCGCCAGGGGAGACAACAUCACUAUACCAUGCAGCUUCAAACCCAAGAACCCAAUCAACAAUCUGGUCGUCAUAUCCUGGUUGGCUGAAGCAGACAAACCCGGAGAGCCAGAGGUGUCCGUCCUUACCUCCUACUCUACUGGUGACCUGGACAUCAGUGACAGGUAUGAAGGAAGAGCUUCCCUGGAGCAGGACAUAGCUAAAGGAGUAGCCAACCUGAAGCUCUCCUCCAUCGGUCUCCAGGACAACCGACUAUUCGAGUGUCGGGUCGCCAUCCCCAAGGAUGACAAGGGUCAGCUGGCUGACACCACCCGUCUGGUGGUCCUGGUGGCUCCCUCUGUGCCUGUCUGUAAGGUCGAUGGGAAGGCAGAGUACUUCCAGAACAUCAGUCUCACCUGUCAGUCUGAAGAGGGCUCUCCUCUUCCUACCUACAAGUGGCAGGGCUACGACGUCAGAAACAUGCCCCGAGCACCUGCACCCAGGACAACAGACAAGGAUGGUGUCCUGUCUCUCUUCAACCUCACCAUGGAAUCCUCAGGAUACUACGUCUGUACCUCCACUAAUAAGAUCCGCAGUGCCAAAUGCAACCUGACGCUGUCCGUCAUGCCACCGUCUAUGGCCCUGGGUUCAACAGCGGGUAUCAUUGGCGGCGUUGUGGUUGGUGUUCUGGUGCUGCUCAUCAUCCUCAUCUACUGCUGCUGCUGCAGGAAGAAGAAGGACAAAGCAGAGGAGUACGCUAUGGGGGUUCCAGAGGGGGAGGAGUUCCACGACGACAAACCCGUGGUGAACGGCGAGGUUCGCCAGACGCGCAGCAAGGAAGGCGACGAUGAAGACCACCCACCCAAGAUCGUGGACCGCCGCGACCAGUACAAGGAACGCAGCGAGAAGGACUACGAUGACCGCCGCAGCGACUACGAUGACCGCCUACCCAAGAUCGUGGACCGUCGCGACCAGUACAAGGAACGCAGUGAGAAGGACUACGAUGACCGCCGCAGCGACUACGAUGACCGCCGCAGCGACUACGAUGACCGCCGCAGCGACUACGAUGACCGCCGCGAGCGCCACGAUGACCGCAGGGACCAGGACGACCGCUACUCUGACCGCCGUGACCGGUACGACCGCGAUCGUGUUUACGAUGAACGCAGUGACGGCGGACGGUACAGUGAUCGUUAUGAUGAGCCCUACGAUGAUCGGGACAGACCUCCCAGUGUACCGGCCAAUAAACCUACUAAGCCUUUGUUACUGUAAUUUAAUUAUGCCAUUAUUUUUUUCCCAUCGUAUGAACUCAUAUUGUUAAUCAGAUAUAAUAAAACAGAGUAUAAGUUUACUUAGUUACAGUUCCAUUUAAAAUCAUUUGUUCAGUCAUUUAAUCAUAAUUUUACCAACAGCCUUCUAAAAAUAGAAUAGAUUAGAGCCACUUAAUGUUUCCCACAACUUGUUUUUGGUUGAAAAUAUAAUGAAUAUUAUAAACAUAGUAGCUGCUGUAGGUCAGACUUCACAAAGGGCCUAGCUGUCAGGCUGAACUCGGUCACAUCAAUAACAGGACGACAGUAACACAACGAAGUAAAGCCUGUAGGUCAGACUUCACAAAGGGCCUAGCUGUCAGGCUGAACUCGGUCACAUCAAUAACAGGACGACAGUAACACAACGAAGUAAAGCCUGUAGGUCAGACUUCACAAAGGGCCUAGCUGCCAGGCUGAACUCGGUCACAUCAAUAACAGGACGACAGUAACACAACGAAGUAAAGCCUGUAGGUCAGGGAUCACAAAGGGCCUAGCUGCUAGGCUGAACUCGGUCACAUCAAUAACAGGACGACAGUAACACAACGAAGUAAAGCCUGUAGGUCAGGGAUCACAAAGGGCCUAGCUGCCAGGCUGAACUCGGUCACAUCAAUAACAGGACGACAGUAACACAACGAAGUAAAGCCUGUAGGUCAGGGAUCACAAAGGGCCUAGCUGCCAGGCUGAACUCGGUCACAUCAAUAACAGGACGACAGUAACACAACGAAGUAAAGCCUGUAGGUCAGACUUCACAAAGGGCCUAGCUGCCAGGCUGAACUCGGUCACAUCAAUAACAGGACGACAGUAACACAACGAAGUAAAGCCUGUAGGUCAGGGAUCAUCAAAGGGCCUAGCUGCCAGGCUGAACUCGGUCACAUCAAUAACAGGACGACAGUAACACAACGAAGUAAAGCCUGUAGGUCAGGGAUCAUCAAAGGGCCUAGCUGCCAGGCUGAACUCGGUCACAUCAAUAACAGGACGACAGUAACACAACGAAGUAAAGCCUGUAGGUCAGACUUCACAAAGGGCCUAGCUGCCAGGCUGAACUCGGUCACAUCAAUAACAGGACGACAGUAACACAACGAAGUAAAGCCUGUAGGUCAGACUUCACAAAGGGCCUAGCUGCCAGGCUGAACUCGGUCACAUCAAUAACAGGACGACAGUAACACAACGAAGUAAAGCCUGUAGGUCAGACUUCACAAAGGGCCUAGCUACCAGGCUGAACUCGGUCACAUCAAUAACAGGACGACAGUAACACAACGAAGUAAAGCCUGUAGGUCAGACUUCACAAAGGGCCUAGCUGCCAGGCUGAACUCGGUCACAUCAAUAACAGGACGACAGUAACACAACGAAGUAAAGCCUGUAGGUCAGACUUCACAAAGGGCCUAGCUGCCAGGCUGAACUCGGUCACAUCAAUAACAGGACGACAGUAACACAACGAAGUAAAGCCUGUAGGUCAGGCUUCACAAAGGGCCUAGCUGCCAGGCUGAACUCGGUCACAUCAAUAACAGGACGACAGUAACACAACGAAGUAAAGCCUGUAGGUCAGACUUCACAAAGGGCCUAGCUGCCAGGCUGAACUCGGUCACAUCAAUAACAGGACGACAGUAACACAACGAAGUAAAGCCUGUAGGUCAGGGAUCACAAAGGGCCUAGCUGCCAGGCUGAACUCGGUCACAUCAAUAACAGGACGACAGUAACACAACGAAGUAAAGCCUGUAGGUCAGGGAUCACAAAGGGCCUAGCUGCCAGGCUGAACUCGGUCACAUCAAUAACAGGACGACAGUAACACAACGAAGUAAAGCCUGUAGGUCAGACUUCACAAAGGGCCUAGUUGCCAGGCUGAACUCGGUCACAUCAAUAACAGGACGACAGUAACACAACGAAGUAAAGCCUGUAGGUCAGGGAUCACAAAGGGCCUAGCUACCAGGCUGAACUCGGUCACAUCAAUAACAGGACGACAGUAACACAACGAAGUACAGCCUGUAGGUCAGACUUCACAAAGGGCCUAGCUGCCAGGCUGAACUCGGUCACAUCAAUAACAGGACGACAGUAACACAACGAAGUAAAGCCUGUAGAUCAGGGAUCAUCAAAUAGAUUCAGCCACCGGAUGGUGUUUUUCCUUCAGCAGAAGUUCAGGGGGCCGGAACAUAAUUAUAAAUCAUUUGUAGACGGCAAAUUGACUGCAAGAAACCCAAACGGAUGUAAUAUUUGACAAAUAUAUAAUAAUUUAGAACCUUGCUUACAUUUGUAAACCCUCGCAUAUAUAUCGCUCUUAUGUGUGGGAAUACUUGAACUAAAUGAAAAUCACUUGGAGCUGAUUUCCUGGUGUUUGUACAGUCUUUUAUGUUCAACAAUAGCAAUUCUACAAAAAGUAAAAUAAAAUAAAAAAAAUGAUAUAUAAUUUUCUUUAUUUUUUAUGUUUUUAUAUAUAUAUAAUUAUAUAAUUUUGGGGUUGAGAAAAGUUGGGGGGGCCAAAUAAAAGGGUCUGUCAGUUGGGGAACCCUGCUAGACACCAUGCCGACUAGAGGUGGAGCGUAUCACUGUUAUCUAUGUAAAGGCCUUUAAUGUGGAGUAUCACUGUUAUCUAUGUAAAGGUCUUCAAUGUGGAGUAUCACUGUUAUCUAUGUAAAGGCCUUCAAUGUGGAGUAUCACUGUUAUCUAUGUAAAGGCCUUCAAUGUGGAGUAUCACUGUUAUCUAUGUAAAGGCCUUCAAUGUGGAGUAUCACUGUUAUCUAUGUAAAGGUCUUCAAUGUGGAGUAUCACUGUUAUCUAUGUAAAGGCCUUCAAUGUGGAGUAUCACUGUUAUCUAUGUAAAGGUCUUCAAUGUGGAGUAUCACUUAUCUAUGUAAAGGUCUUCAAUGUGGAGUAUCACUGUUAUCUAUGUAAAGGUCUUCAAUGUGGAGUAUCACUGUUAUCUAUGUAAAGGUCUUCAAUGUAGAGUAUCACUGUUAUCUAUGUAAAGGCCUUCAAUGUGGAGUAUCACUGUUAUCUAUGUAAAGGCCUUCAAUGUGGAGUAUCACUGUUAUCUAUGUAAAGGUCUUCAAUGUGGAGUAUCACUGUUAUCUAUGUAAAGGCCUUCAAUGUGGAGUAUCACUGUUAUCUAUGUAAAGGUCUUCAAUGUGGAGUAUCACUGUUAUCUAUGUAAAGGCCUUCAAUGUGGAGUAUCACUGUUAUCUAUGUAAAGGCCUUCAAUGUGGAGUAUCACUGUUAUCUAUGUAAAGGUCUUCAAUGUGGAGUAUCACUGUUAUCUAUGUAAAGGCCUUCAAUGUGGAGUAUCACUAUUAUCUAUGUAAAGGUCUUCAAUGUGGAGUAUCACUGUUAUCUAUGUAAAGGUCUUCAAUGUGGAGUAUCACUGUUAUCUAUGUAAAGGUCUUCAAUGUGGAGUAUCACUGUUAUCUAUGUAAAGGCCUUCAAUGUAGAGUAUCACUUAUCUAUGUAAAGGCCUUCAAUGUGGAGUAUCACUGUUAUCUAUGUAAAGGUCUUCAAUGUGGAGUAUCACUGUUAUCUAUGUAAAGGUCUUCAAUGUGGAGUAUCACUGUUAUCUAUGUAAAGGCCUUCAAUGUGGAGUAUCACUAUUAUCUAUGUAAAGGUCUUCAAUGUGGAGUAUCACUGUUAUCUAUGUAAAGGUCUUCAAUGUGGAGUAUCACUGUUAUCUAUGUAAAGGUCUUCAAUGUGGAGUAUCACUGUUAUCUAUGUAAAGGUCUUCAAUGUGGAGUAUCACUGUUAUCUAUGUAAAGGCCUUCAAUGUGGAGUAUCACUGUUAUCUAUGUAAAGGCCUUUAAUGUGGAGUAUCACUGUUAUCUAUGUAAAGGCCUUUAAUGUGGAGUAUCACUGUUAUCUAUGUAAAGGCCUUCAAUGUGGAGUAUCACUGUUAUCUAUGUAAAGGCCUUCAAUGUGGAGUAUCACUGUUAUCUAUGUAAAGGUCUUCAAUGUGGAGUAUCACUGUUAUCUAUGUAAAGGUCUUCAAUGUGGAGUAUCACUGUUAUCUAUGUAAAGGUCUUCAAUGUGGAGUAUCACUAUUAUCUAUGUAAAGGCCUUCAAUGUGGAGUAUCACUGUUAUCUAUGUAAAGGCCUUUAAUGUGGAGUAUCACUGUUAUCUAUGUAAAGGCCUUCAAUGUGGAGUAUCACUGUUAUCUAUGUAAAGGCCUUCAAUGUGGAGUAUCACUGUUAUCUAUGUAAAGGCCUUCAAUGUGGAGUAUCACUGUUAUCUAUGUAAAGGCCUUUAAUGUGGAGUAUCACUUAUCUAUGUAAAGGCCUUCAAUGUGGAGUAUCACUGUUAUCUAUGUAAAGGUCUUCAAUGUGGAGUAUCACUGUUAUCUAUGUAAAGGCCUUCAAUGUGGAGUACAGCCUAUGAUUGAAGGAAGGAAGGCCUCAAUUCAGUUCAGUAGUCAGGAAGCGAAUUGGAAUGCUGAUUCAAAGAUUUGAAAAGUGCCAUCUAGUAUUUUCAAUUAGGAUUUUUUUUAAAAUGUUUUAUUCUUGAAUCUGAAUUUAAAUGUCCUUUCUGUUACAAGCUGCCAUUGCCUGAAUAAGACUGUGUAUGAAUUUUCAGUGCAGCUCAUUGGAUAAUGCAUUUUCCCUCCUGCCUUAUUGUCUACUGUUGGUGUGACAGAUAAUGCAUUUACCCUCCUGCCUUAUUGUCUACUGUUGGUGUGACAGAUAAUGCAUUUUCCCUCCUGCCUUAUUGUCUACUGUUGGUGUGACUGAAGAGCUUUCCACGUCAGUCUCAGGUCUUGGCUGUUUGAGAACCACAAGCUUUUUGGUGACGGUCUGUUUGUUUUUAUCAACUGUAGAUUGAUAAUACCCUCUAAUAUCAACUGUAGAUUGAUAAUACCCUCUAAUAUCAACUGUAGAUUGAUAAUACCCUCUAAUAUCAACUGUAGAUUGAUAAUACCCUCUAAUAUCAACUGUAGAUUGAUAAUACCCUCUGAUAUCAACUGUAGAUUGAUAAUACCCUCUAAUAUCAACUGUAGAUUGAUAAUACCCUCUAAUAUCAACUGUAGAUUGAUAAUACCCUCUAAUAUCAACUGUAGAUUGAUAAUACCCUCUAAUAUCAACUGUAGAUUGAUAAUACCCUCUAAUAUCAACUGUAGAUUGGUAAUACCCUCUAAUAUCAACUGUAGAUUGAUAAUACCCUCUAAUAUCAACUGUAGAUUGAUAAUACCCUCUAAUAUCAACUGUAGAUUGGUAAUACCCUCUAAUAUCAACUGUAGAUUGGUAAUACCCUCUAAUAUCAACUGUAGAUUGGUAAUACCCUCUGAUAUCAACUGUAGAUUGGUAAUACCCUCUAAUAUCAACUGUAGAUUGGUAAUACCCUCUAAUAUCAACUGUAGAUUGGUAAUACCCUCUGAUAUCAACUGUAGAUUGGUAAUACCCUCUAAUAUCAACUGUAGAUUGGUAAUACCCUCUAAUAUCAACUGUAGAUUGGUAAUACCCUCUGAUAAUACCCUCUAAUAGUUACAUUUACAAGAGUUACAUUUAACAUCAACUGUAGAUUGGUAAUACCCUCUAAUAUCAACUGUAGAUUGAUAAUACCCUCUAAUAAAUAAAGUUGUUAACCUUUUUAAUAGUUGUUUUCAUUACUUAGAAGUGUUGUGUUUUGUCCAUGUAUUUAACGUCGUGAUGCGUGUUAAUGCAGUGGAGUGUCAGGUGUCUCAGGUGAGUCUUCAUUAACAUAUUCAAACCAUGACUUGUUUUUGGAGUGAGUGAGUCAAUCAGGCCUUUUGAAAGAGAACCUAGAGACCCAUUUUAAGAACAGAGAGAAACUAGUUUCACUCUGUGGCAUGUGCCUAGUCGUUUCACUUCCUCAUUAUAGCCUGAGGCCAGACAACAGACUCACUUAACUAGAAGUGGCUUCGUUGGGUUCAGACCUAUUAAAUGGGUCUGUCUGAGUGAGGAGUUUUUAUCUAAGGAAGGGAAGAUAAUCAUGCCUUUAAUCUUUGACAAAAAUGUCUAACCUUUUGUUUUUAUGCUUUUGAAAUGUACAGGGACAAUUUAACUCGUUAAAACAUCAAAUGUUUGAAGUUUUGGUUAGAUGUGAUGGUACAAUUUAUAAACUGUAAAUAAAAUGUAUCAUGUUUCUAAUCUGUGUACAAAUGUUUUCAUUGGGUUUACAGUGAAUUUAUAUUAAAGCCAAAUGUAUAUA